ACGCCACCUAGGGGAUGGCUCGGCUCGGGUCACCGACGAAGGGCGUGACAAGCUGCGAUAAGCCCGGGCGAGGUGCAUGUAGCCUUUGAACCCGGGAUGCCCGAAUGCGACUCGCGUAGGGGUAAACCCCCUACACUCGCGAGCUUUUGCUCGCGAGGGGGAACGCGGGGAAUUGAAACAUCUUAGUACCCGCGGGAAAAGAAAGCAAAAGCGAUGCCCCGAGUACCGGCGAGGGAAAAGGGCAGAGGGCAAACCGAAUCUUCCGACGAAAGUCGGAAGAGAUGUGGGGUUUGGUCCCUGCCAUAUGCAAGCCUCGCUGGAGAAGCCGAAGUGAGCUGGAAUGCUCCGCCAUAGAGGGUGAAAGCCCCGUAGGCAUAAUCCAGCAGGUUUGCGGUAGGGACCAGAGUAGCAUGGGUUGGAUAUCCCGUGUGAAGGUGGGAGGCAUCGACUCCCAACCCUAAAUAUGUCCCGAGACCGAUAGCGAACUAGUACCGUGAGGGAAAGCUGAAAAGUACCCCUGCCAGGGGGUGAAAAGAGCCUGAAACUAGGUGGCUAUAGUCUGUCACGGCAUGAAAGGAAUGAAUCUCCCCGAAGGAAAGCCUCGCGAGGGGCGAGUACGAGGGGAGACGACCAGUGUCGUGACGUCCGUUUUGAAAAACGGGCCGGGGAGUUCACGGUCAUGGCGAGGCUAAGGGGGUUCAGCCCCGAAGCCGUAGCGAAAGCGAUAGCCCGCAGCUCAUUUGAGCGAGGGGCGGGGUGUGAAAGCGCCCGGAGUCAUGGCCGUGAGACCCGAGGCCGGUCGAUCUAGCCCAAGGCAGGGUGAAGUUGCGCGAAAGCGCAAUGGAGGCCCGAACCGGUGCUGAUAUGCAAAUCGCUCGGUUGACCUUGGGCUAGGGGCGAAAGACCAAUCAAGACCGGCGCCAGCUGGUUCCUCCCGAAAUGUGUCGCAGCACAGCCCAGCCAGAGGUAGAUGGCGGUGUAGAGCACUGAUUGGGUGUUUAGGGGACGAAAGUCCUCGGCACCCUGUCAAACUCCGAAGCCGCCAUCGCCUUAGAAGGCUGGAGUGAGGGCUGGGGGGUAAGCUCCCAGUCCGAGAGGGGAAUAACCCUGACCGGGGUUAAGGUCCCAAAGUGCAGGCUAAGUGCUAAAUAAGAAGGGCGUCCCUGACCUAAGACAGCGGGGAGGUAGGCUUAGAAGCAGCCAUCCUUUAAAGAGUGCGUAACAGCUCACCCGCCGAGGUCAGGGGCCCCGAAAAUCGACGGGGCUAAGCCUGCCACCGAUACCCCGGAGGGGCGCAAGCCCAUCUGGUAGGGAGGCGUCUCGUCUGGGUAGAAGCUGGGGCGUAAGCUCCAGUGGACCGGGCGAGAGUGAGGAUCCCGGCAGUAGUAGCAGCAAAGUGGGGUGAGAAUCCCCACCGCCGGAGGGGCGAGGUUUCCUCGGCAAUGUUCGUCAGCCGAGGGUUAGCCGGUCCUAAGGGUGUGCGUAACUCGACACACCCGAAAGGGAAACGGGUUAAUAUUCCCGUGCCACCCGGAUACGUGCGGCGACGCAAGGCUUCCUCCUGACGCCUCGGGGUAGGCCAAGUGGAGCCGUCGCUCCAUCUAAGCGUAUAAGCCUGGGGAGGACCGUAAUGGUGAGAACCAGGCGAAAGCGCGAAUGGGCUUCCGUUAAGGAGGCUUUGGCUGAUCCCUGGGGCCCGUGAAAAGGGAGGAAGCAAGGAUUCCGGGUGACCGUACUAAGAACCGACACAGGUGCCCCUGGGUGAGAAGCCCAAGGCGUGUCGGAGAAAGCCGGCCUAGGGAAUUCGGCAAAUUGGCCCCGUAUCUUCGGUAGAAGGGGUGCCUGCUCCGCGAAGGAGCAGGUCGCAGUGACAAGGGGGCUCCGACUGUUUAAUAAAAACAUAGCUGGCCGCAAGCCCGAAAGGGUGAGUACGGCUGGUGACUCCUGCCCAGUGCCGGUAGGUGAAGCCCGGGUCCAACCGGGUCAAGCCCCGGUAAACGGCGGGGGUAACAAUAACCCUCUUAAGGUAGCGUAAUACCUUGCCGCUUAAUUGGCGGCUUGCAUGAAUGGAUGAACGAGAGCCCCACUGUCCCAGGCCGGCGUCCGGCGAACCUGCCAUGCUGGUGCACAGGCCAGCGACCCCCAACGGGUAAAGAAGACCCCGUGGACCUUUACUGCAGCCUGCCGUUGGGGUAUGGUGAUGAGUGUAGAGUGUAGGUGGGAGCCGUCGAAGCGGAGUCGCCAGGCUCCGUGGAGGCGCCAAUGGAACACCACCCACUUGUCACCGUGCCUCUAACUCCUUCGGGAGGACAUCGGUAGGUGGGCAGUUUGGCUGGGGCGGCACCCCCCUGAAAAAAUAUCAGGGGGGCUCUAAGGUCGGCUCAACCGGGUCAGAAAUCCGGUGUGGAGUGUAAGGGCAAAAGCCGGCCUGACUGGGUUCCGCCCAGCGAGGAACCCAGCCCCGAAAGGGUGACCUAACGAACCUCCCUGCCCUCCUCGGUGGGGGCGGGAGAUAACAGAAAAGGUACCUCGGGGAUAACUGAGUUGUCGCGGGCAAGAGUUCACAUCGACCCCGCGGCUUGCUACUUCGAUGUCGGCUCUUCCCAACCUGGGCGUGCAGCAGCGCCCAAGGGUGGGGUUGUUCGCCCAUCAAAGGGGAUCGUGAGCUGGGUUUAGACCGUCGCGAGACAGGUUAGUUUUUAACUGUUGG
rnacentral:rRNA from 1 species